rnacentral:lncRNA from 1 species
GUAUUACUGUACUGUUGGAGCUAUAAACACAAGCAUUAGGUAUUACUGUACUGUUGGAGCUAGAAACACAAGCAUUAUAUAUUACUGUACUGUUGGAGCUAGAAACACAAGCAUUAUGUAUUACUGUACUGUUGGAGCUAGAAACACAAGCAUUAUAUAUUACUGUACUGUUGGAGCUAGAAACACAAGCAUUAUGUAUUACUGUACUGUUGGAGCUAUAAACACAAGCAUUAUAUAUUACUGUACUGUUGGAGCUAGAAACACAAGCAUUAUAUAUUACUGUACUGUUGGAGCUAUAAACACAAGCAUUAGGUAUUACUGUACUGUUGGAGCUAUAAACACAAGCAUUAUAUAUUACUGUACUGUUGGAGCUAGAAACACAAGCAUUAUGUAUUACUGUACUGUUGGAGCUAGAAACACAAGCAUUAUAUAUUACUGUACUGUUGGAGCUAUAAACACAAGCAUUAUGUAUUACUGUACUGUUGGAGCCAUAAACACAAGCAUUAUAUAUUACUGUACUGUUGGAGCUAGAAACACAAGCAUUAGGUAUAACUGUACUGUUGGAGCUAUAAACACAAGCAUUAGGUAUUACUGUACUGUUGGAGCUAUAAACACAAACAUUGUGUAUUACUGUACUGUUGGAGCUAUAAACACAAGCAUUAGGUAUUACUGUACUGUUGGAGCUAGAAACACAAGCAUUAUAUAUUACUGUACUGUUGGAGCUAGAAACACAAGCAUUAUGUAUUACUGUACUGUUGGAGCUAGAAACACAAGCAUUAGGUAUUACUGUACUGUUGGAGCUAGAAACACAAGCAUUAUAUAUUACUGUACUGUUGGAGCUAGAAACACAAGCAUUAUAUAUUACUGUACUGUUGGAGCUAGAAACACAAGCAUUAUAUAUUACUGUACUUUUGGAAGCUAUAAACACAAGCAUCAUAUCUUACUGUACUUUUGGAGCUCGAAACACAUGCAUUAUAUAUUACUGUACUGUUGGAGCUAUAAACACAAGCAUUAUAUAUUACUGUACUGUUGGAGCUAGAAACACAAGCAUUAUACAUUACUGUACUGUUGGAGCUAGAAACACAAGCAUUAUAUAUUACUGUACUGUUGGAGCUAUAAACACAAGCAUUAGGUAUUACUGUACUGUUGGAGCUAUAAACACAAGCAUUAUAUAUUACUGUACUGUUGGAGCUAGAAACACAAGCAUUAUGUAUUACUGUACUGUUGGAGCUAGAAACACAAGCAUUAUAUAUUACUGUACUGUUGGAGAUAUAAACACAAGCAUUAUAUAUUACUGUGCUGUUGGAGCUAUAAACACAAGCAUUAGAUAUUACUGUACUGUUGGAGCUAGAAACACAAGCAUUAUAUAUUACUGUACUGUUGGAGCUAUAAACACAAGCAUUAGGUAUUACUGUACUGUUGGAGCUAUAAACACAAGCAUUAUAUAUUACUGUACUGUUGGAGCUAUAAACACAAGCAUUAUAUAUUACUGUACUGUUGGAGCUAUAAACACAAGCAUUAGAUAUUACUGUACUGUUGGAGCUAUAAACACAAGCAUUAAGUAUUACUGUACUGUUGGAGCUAUAAACACAAGCAUUAUAUAUUACUGUACUGUUGGAGCUAUAAACACAAGCAUUAAGUAUUACUGUACUGUUGGAGCUAUAAACACAAGCAUUAUAUAUUACUGUACUGUUGGAGCUAUAAACACAAGCAUUAUAUAUUACUGUACUGUUGGAGCUAUAAACACAAGCAUUAUAUAUUACUGUACUGUUGGAGCUAGGACCAGCUUGCUUAGGGGAUAUUUUAGCAGUUCUGCAUUUUAUGAGUUCUGCAUGCAGUCUCUCUCUGUGUCUCACUCUCUCUCUCUCUCUCUCAAACUCACACUGUUCCUCCCUCUCUUUCCAUCUCUCUCUCCCUCGCUCUCUCCAUCUCUCCCCCGCCCCACCACGUUAAGCUCAGGAAGGGUGAUUGGUCUAAAUUGGAUCUAAUGUUUCUGUACCUGGCAGCAGAGAUGCCAGAGCCUGCUGCCCCAUUGUCAUCCAAUUACAC